rnacentral:lncRNA from 1 species
CAGGCAGUGGUAUCUGUGAGCAGCUCUGUGGACUCAAAGGUUUUCUCCCUGAGAGGCAUGACCCAGGCCAGCUGAUUCAUCAGAAUCAGGAUGGACGUGGUAGAGGUCGCGGGUAGUUGGUGGGCACAAGAGCGAGAGGACAUCAUUAUGAAAUACGAAAAGGACACCGAGCUGGGCUGCCAGAGGACAAGGGGCCUAAGCCUUUUGGAAGAUACAACAACAAUGUCGAUCAUUUGGGGAUUGUACGGUCACUCAGGGAUUCGACUCUGAGGUCAAUGAUGCACUUG